GACGAACGCUGGCGGCGUGCCUAAUACAUGCAAGUUGAGCGCUGAAGGUUGGUACUUGUACCAACUGGAUGAGCAGCGAACGGGUGAGUAACGCGUGGGGAAUCUGCCUUUGAGCGGGGGACAACAUUUGGAAACGAAUGCUAAUACCGCAUAAAAACUUUAAACACAAGUUUUAAGUUUGAAAGAUGCAAUUGCAUCACUCAAAGAUGAUCCCGCGUUGUAUUAGCUAGUUGGUGAGGUAAAGGCUCACCAAGGCGAUGAUACAUAGCCGACCUGAGAGGGUGAUCGGCCACACUGGGACUGAGACACGGCCCAAACGCCUACGGGAGGCAGCAGUAGGGAAUCUUCGGCAAUGGACGAAAGUCUGACCGAGCAACGCCGAGUGAGUGAAGAAGGUUUUCGGAUCGUAAAACUCUGUUGGUAGAGAAGAACGUUGGUGAGAGUGGAAAGCUCAUCAAGUGACGGUAACUACCCAGAAAGGGACGGCUAACUACGUG
rnacentral:rRNA from 1 species